rnacentral:rRNA from 1 species
CAAUAGCGUAUAUUUAAGUUGUUGCAGUUAAAAGCUCGUAGUUGGAUUUCGGUUGAGAGCGGCCGGUCCGCCGUUUGGUGUGCACUGGCUGGUCUCAACUUCCUGCGGAGGACGCGCUCUGGGCUUAACGGUCUGGACGUGGAGUCCGCGUGGUUACUUUGAAAAAUUAGAGUGUUCAAAGCGGGCUUACGCUUGAAUAUUUCAGCAUGGAAUAACACUACAGGACUCCUGUCCUAUUUCGUUGGUCUCGGGACGGGAGUAAUGAUUAAGAGGAACAGUUGGGGCGAUUCGUAUUUCUAUGUUCAGAAGGUGGAAAUUACUUGGAGUUUAAUUGAAAGAACGAACUUACUGCGAAAGAC